rnacentral:rRNA from 1 species
GUCGUGCGAGAAGUCACCUUCGGGUGGCGAGUAAAGCGGCGCACGGGUGAGUAACGCGUGGGUAAUCUGCCUUCGGGUCCGGGACAACUCCGGGAAACUGGAGCUAAUACCGGAUAAGACCACGGCGUCCUCGGACACUGUGGAAAAAGGUGGCCUCUUCUUGAAAGCUACCGCCCGUAGAUGAGCCCGCGUCCCAUUAGCUUGUUGGUGAGGUAACGGCUCACCAAGGCAACUAUGGGUAGCUGGUCUGAGAGGAUGAUCAGCCACACUGGGACUGAGACACGGCCCAGACUCCUACGGGAGGCAGCAGUCGGGAAUUUUGGGCAAUGGGCGCAAGCCUGACCCAGCAACGCCGCGUGAGGGAUGAAGGCCCUCGGGUCGUAAACCUCUGUCGGAAGGGAAGAAAGGUGAGGAGGCGAACAGGCUCUUCGCUUGACGGUACCUUCAAAGGAAGCACCGGCUAACUCCGUGCCAGCAGCCGCGGUAAUACGGAGGGUGCAAGCGUUGUUCGAAAUUACUGGGCGUAAAGAGCGUGUAGGCGGCUUGGUCAGUCGGAUGUGAAAUCCCGGGGCCCAACCCCGGAACUGCAUCCGAUACUGCCUGGCUUGAGUCUCGGAGAGGAAGGCGGAAUUCCGGGUGUAGAGGUGAAAUUCGUAGAUAUCCGGAGGAACACCAGCGGCGAAGGCGGCCUUCUGGACGAUGACUGACGCUGAGACGCGAAAGCGUGGGUAGCAAACAGGAUUAGAUACCCUGGUAGUCCACGCCGUAAACGUUGAGUGCUGGACGUCGGAGGUAUUGAC